rnacentral:rRNA from 1 species
AAGUCGAACGAGCAAAGAGGAGCUUGCUUCUCUGAGCGAGUGGCGAACGGGUGAGUAACGCGUGAGGAACCUGCCUCAAAGAGGGGGACAACAGUUGGAAACGACUGCUAAUACCGCAUAAGCCCACGGGUCGGCAUCGACCAGAGGGAAAAGGAGCAAUCCGCUUUGAGAUGGCCUCGCGUCCGAUUAGCUAGUUGGUGAGGUAACGGCCCACCAAGGCGACGAUCGGUAGCCGGACUGAGAGGUUGAACGGCCACAUUGGGACUGAGACACGGCCCAGACUCCUACGGGAGGCAGCAGUGGGGAAUAUUGCACAAUGGGGGAAACCCUGAUGCAGCGACGCCGCGUGGAGGAAGAAGGUCUUCGGAUUGUAAACUCCUGUUGUUGAGGAAGAUAAUGACGGUACUCAACAAGGAAGUGACGGCUAACUACGUGCCAGCAGCCGCGGUAAAACGUAGGUCACAAGCGUUGUCCGGAAUUACUGGGUGUAAAGGGAGCGCAGGCGGGAAGACAAGUUGGAAGUGAAAUCCAUGGGCUCAACCCAUGAACUGCUUUCAAAACUGUUUUUCUUGAGUAGUGCAGAGGUAGGCGGAAUUCCCGGUGUAGCGGUGGAAUGCGUAGAUAUCGGGAGGAACACCAGUGGCGAAGGCGGCCUACUGGGCACCAACUGACG